CCUACGGGCGGCAGCAGUGGGGAAUAUUGGACAAUGGGGGCAACCCUGAUCCAGCCAUGCCGCGUGUGUGAAGAAGGCCCUCGGGUUGUAAAGCACUUUCAGUGAGGAAGAACGCCUGGUGGUUAAUACCCAUCAGGAAAGACAUCACUCACAGAAGAAGCACCGGCUAACUCCGUGCCAGCAGCCGCGGUAAUACGGAGGGUGCGAGCGUUAAUCGGAAUUACUGGGCGUAAAGCGCGCGUAGGUGGCUUGAUAAGCCGGUUGUGAAAGCCCCGGGCUCAACCUGGGAACGGCAUCCGGAACUGUCCAGCUAGAGUGCAGGAGAGGAAGGUAGAAUUCCCGGUGUAGCGGUGAAAUGCGUAGAGAUCGGGAGGAAUACCAGUGGCGAAGGCGGCCUUCUGGACUGACACUGACACUGAGGUGCGAAAGCGUGGGUAGCAAACAGGAUUAGAUACCCUAGUAGUC
rnacentral:rRNA from 1 species